AGAUGAUGAAAUCACCCAAAAUAGCUGGAAUUACCGGCAGAUUGUGUAGUGGUGAACCUACGGUUUUCUGAAG
ensembl:snoRNA